rnacentral:rRNA from 1 species
UACAGAGGGUGCGAGCGUUAAUCGGAAUUACUGGGCGUAAAGCGUGCGUAGACGGUAGCGUAAGUCAGAUGUGAAAGCCCCGGGCUCAACCUGGGAAUUGCAUUUGAGACUGCUCUGCUCGGGUGCGGAAGAGGGAAGCGGAAUUUCCGGUGUAGCGGUGAAAUGCGUAGAUAUCGGAAGGAACACCAGUGGCGAAAGCGGCUUCCUGGUCCGACACCGACGUUCAGGCACGAAAGCGUGGGGGGCAAACAGG